AUUGUCAAUGGGCGCCCCACCAUCUUUGAUGGCUUCGAUUCAGAACCACGUGUCGAGGCUGCUGGUCAUGGCUUCCCUUGCUGCAUCACGCGGUGGUUCUGACAGACGAACGCCCACCUCGCUACUUGGAAGUCAAUCUUGCCAUUGAAGUCGAAGUCCAGUUCGAGGAUGUUUAUACCUACGGUUAUGCAGCCUCUAGCCUCCUUCCCUUUGCCUUCGCAGUCGCUGCAACUCUAUCAAUUUCCUCCUCAUUUGCCGUCCCUAAGAAAGUUUGAUUUUACCUUUCCGAAUGGAAAACUCAAUUAUUCGUUCUUAUUAUGAAUCAUGAACCAAUCUUAGUAUA